rnacentral:rRNA from 1 species
GAUUGAACGCUGGCGGCAGGCCUAACCCAUGAAAGUCGACCGGUAACAGGGAUCAGCUUGCUGAUUCGCUGACGAGUGGCGGACGGGUGAGUAAUGUCUGGGAAACUGCCUGAUGGAGGGGGCUAACUACUGGAAACGGUAGCUAAUACCGCAUAAAGUCGCAAGACUAAAGAGGGGGACCUUCGGGCCUCUUGCCAUCGGAUGUGCUCAGAUGGGAUUAGCUAGUAGGUGGGGUAACGGCUCACCUAGGCGACGAUCCCUAGCUGGUCUGAGAGGAUGACCAGCCACACGGGAACUGAGACACGGUCCAGACACCUACGGGAGGCAGCAGUGGGGAAUAUUGCACAAUGGGCGCAAGCCUGAUGCAGCCAUGCCGCGUGUAUGAAGAAGGCCUUCGGGUUGUAAAGUACUUUCAGCGGGGAGGAAGGGAGUAAAGUUAAUACCUUUGCUCAUUGACGUUACCCGCAGAAGAAGCACCGGCUAACUCCGUG